GAUUUCUCUUUUUAUGAUUGAUUCAAUAAAAAAUUUUCUUUCAAUAAUUCUAAUCUGAUCUUAAUUAAGAGAAUUUUAAUCCGUAGUCAUCGGAUAGCAUAACGACACCCAUCUUGAUCAGAUUAGGAUAUUUCUAGAUUUGAAACAUCUCUAUCCUAAUCUAAUCUAUGAGAUGCACUUAAUUUUUAAUUUGAUUCUAAGUGGGGGU
rnacentral:lncRNA from 1 species